rnacentral:rRNA from 1 species
UACGUAGGCAGCGAGCGUUGUUCGGAGUUACUGGGCGUAAAGGGUGUGUAGGCGGUUCUUUCAGUUUGGGGGGAAAUCUCCCGGCUCAACCGGGAGGGUGCGCCGAAUACUGAGGGACUAGAGUGCGGGAGAGGAAAGUGGAAUUCCUGGUGUAGCGGUGAAAUGCGUAGAUAUCAGGAGGAACACCGGUGGUGUAGACGGCUUUCUGGACCGUAACUGACGCUGAGACACGAAAGCGUGGGUGGCAAACAGG